ensembl:lncRNA
CUUCCCCAUGAUUGUGUAGCCUAAUGAACCAAACAGAGAGACCUUUGCAGGUGUUUUGAGUUGAUUAGCUGAUUGGCAUGUCACCAUAUUCUAACUUGUUGAGAUGCUGAAUUGGUGGGUUUUUGUUUAAUGUGAGCCAAAUCAUCACAAUUAAAAGAAGAAAAGAAUUAAACUACUUCAGUCUGUGUGCAUUGAAUUCUUUUACAGUUUUUUCUGAAUGCUUAAGCGCUAAUCGUGAUUCUUGUAGCACAAUUUCUAAAACUAUUAAUACGUAUAGCAAAACCACUCACUGAGUUUGCAAAACUAAAAGCACAAACACUGCUUUGCACUCAGUUUGCAAUUUUGUAACACACACUUUGCAAAACUGUAGGCACAAUUCACUGCACAACACUCUUUUUGCAGAACUUUAAACACAACUCACUGCUUACACUCAAUUACCAAAUUUCCAACACACUCCUAGCAAAAUUAUACACAUGUAUGGCUAUCAUUAAACUAUUUUGCCAACUGUCUGGCACACUUUUACAUGUGAAAACUGUUUUAGAUAAUUAGUUCACUUUGCAGUCAGCCUAAGCACUAUAAAUAAGCCACAGGUAAGCUGUCUGUGUGUAGUACAAUGGAAGGAGCAGUAAGAGUGAGAAGAGUGAGAAUCAGAGGAGGCCGAGGGAGAGGACGUGGAGGUGAAGAAGUUGGAGGAAGAGAACGUGGAGUUGAAGAAGCGAGAGGGUUAGAGGAAGUUAGAGGUAGAGGACAAGGAGGAGCAAGAAGAGGACGAGGAGGGGAAAGAGGAAGGGUAAGAAGAGUAAGAAAUAGAAUAACUGAUGACAUCAGAGCUACAAUAGUGGACCAUGUCAUCAACCAUGGGAUGACCCUGAGGGAAGCUGGCCAACGGGUUCAGCCUAAUUUGAGCCGCUACACUGUGGCAAGCAUCAUUAGGACAUUUCGAAACGAGAAUCGGUAAGUACUUUGUAGCACUGCCAUACUCUAAUGAGAAACACAACAGUACCAUACAUGCAAAAAUACUGAAAUUGUUACUUUACAGAAUUGCUAGACGUCCAGAUGUUGGGGGCAGAGGAAGAAUGUUCACUCCAGAGCAAGAGACCCAUAUAGUGAACAUGGUGAUUGCCAAUAAUGCAAUAAGACUGCGCGAAAUACAGCAGCACAUAAUUGAUAAUGACACCAUCUUUCAAAAUAUACACAGUGUAAGCAUUUCUGCACUAAGUCGUGUACUUGCGUGCCACAGAAUAAGAAUGAAGCAAAUUUACAGAGUUCCUUUCGAGAGAAACACAGAACGUGUAAAGCAACUGCGAUAUGACUAUGUGCAGAGAGUGAUGGAACUAGAAGCAGAUGCCUUGGGACAUGAGCUACUUUUUGUAGAUGAGGCCGGUUUUAACCUCAGUAAAACCAGGAGACGUGGCAGGAACAUUACUGGACACCGUGCCAUCAUCAAUGUCCCAGGACAACGUGGUGGUAACAUAACCAUGUGUGCAGCUAUAAGCCAAAAUGGUGUUGUUCACCAUCAUGCAACCAUAGGCCCAUACAACACUGCACACAUUAUUGCAUUCCUGGACACCUUACAUGACAUGCUCACUGUUCAGAGACCAGAGAAUACCCGAUAUGUCAUCAUAUGGGACAAUGUUAAUUUCCAUAGGGCUGCUUUGGUCCGCAACUGGUUUACAGACCACCCAUCCUUCAUGGCACUCAACCUCCCUCCAUACUCUCCAUUCUUAAAUCCCAUCGAGGAGUUCUUCUCUGCCUGGCGCUGGAAAGUGUACGACCGUCAUCCUCAUCAACAGGUAGCCCUUUUACAGGCAAUGGAGGAGGCAUGUGGAGAUAUUGACCAGGCAUCAUGUCAGGCCUGGAUACGGCAUUCAAGGAGAUAUUUUCCCCGGUGCCUUGGACUGGAGGAUAUCGCAUGCAAUGUGGAUGAAAUUUUGUGGCCGGACCAAGAAAGACGACAU